rnacentral:rRNA from 1 species
CCCUUAGAUGUUCUGGGCUGCACGCGCGCUACACUGGUGCACUCAACAAGUCUUAACCUUGGCCGAUAGGUCUGGGUAAUCUUUGAACGCUGUUCGUGAUUGGGAUAGACCUUUGCAAUUAUGGGUCUUCAACGAGGAAUUCCUAGUAAACGCAAGUCAUCAGCUUGCAUUGAUUACGUCCCUGCCCUUUGUACACACCGCCCGUCGCACCUACCGAUUGAAUGGUCCGGUGAAAUCUCGGGACGGCGGCUUGGUCGCUUGCGUCCGACUGCUGAAACUUGAUUAAACCAUAUCAUUUAGAGGAAGGUGAAGUCGUAACA